AGCAGCAGUUUGAAGUUGGACUCAUUCAGAGCAUUUCCAUAGAGCCACUUUGCAUCAGCAGCUCCAUGCUCCAGCGCUCUGGGAGAGUUUAUAGUCCUGACAGUUGAACACUGGAUGACUGACAGCUGUCCUUCAUCACAGCAGAAGACACAGAAAUCCUCCUCAUCAUCAGAAACAUGACUUUGAUCUGCGUCCUCAUCUGGACUCUCCUCUGCUGCUGCUUCACAGAGGUCAGAGGUCAGAUCACAGUGACUCAGCAGCCUGCAGCAGUGAGAGCUGAUAUUGGAGGAUCUGCCACCAUCAGAUGUAGAACCAGUCAGAAUGUUUUUAACAACAACUAUUUAGCCUGGUACCAACAGAAAGACGGACAAUCUCCUAAGCUCCUCAUUUAUGCUACCAGCACUAAAGCAUCAGGGACUCCAAGUCGUUUUUCAGGCAGUGGAUCAAACUCUGACUUCACUCUGACCAUCAGUGGAGUUCAGGCUGAAGAUGCUGCAGUUUAUUACUGUCAGAGUUUUCAUUACCCCAACAGCCAGUAUGUGUUCACACAGUGAAAAACAGUCGUAC